CUCCUUACUAAUGUGAAUGUAGUUUAGGGGUUUGAGGUGUGCAGUGUGACGUCGCCAGUAAGAAUCCCAAACCCUUUGGGAGGAUGUCCACCAACAUGUCUACAUAGAUGUCCAGUGUCUCUGAGUUCGUCAGACAGAUCCAGGCACUUGAGAUCAUCUGUGUGUUCAUACAGUGUUUUACCUGACCUGGCUGAUGUCUCCAGCAUCACAUGCUCACCCUCCCAGCACCAGGAGUGGGGGGGCCAGGACAGACUUCACACCAGCCCCCUGAACAGACGGCCGCCACCCUGCAACAGCACCCCACGCAGCCCAGCAGCUGCACCCAAUUACAGAACCACAGAGGUCACUGGGGAGCCCAUCCCUCCCCCUCCCAGCCUGCUGGACACCUCUCACUGGAGCAGCAGCCGCUCCCAACCGCCCAACACGGAGAGCUUUGCCACUGCCAACCUGGGAGCCAUUAGCACGACGGACACGAUGAGAGACCUCUCCCUCCAAGAGAGUGACUCGGCCACAGGUCACCUACAGUUCAUCAUGGCCAGCUCCAGAGACAGACCGACCCCUGGAACAAGCCAAGAGGGGUUGGGCUCCACCUACAGCAUAGCAACUAGCCGCCAGGAGAAUGAGGAGGAGAGGGGCGAACUGAGUGAUCACUUUGAGGAGAACAAAGUUAAUUCUGUCGAAGGGCAGAGAGGGAUGUCACUGGAUGCAGGCGUUAAAAC
ensembl:lncRNA